rnacentral:lncRNA from 1 species
GCGAGCCUUCAGGGAGGGCAGACGGAGGCUUCUCCGCGGCCGCGGCCGUCGGAGGUAACGGUGCUGACGGUGGCCGGCAGUGCAGCGGUGCGGGCCUUUGCUGCCGCCCAGCGUGGUCGGCCGGGGGCGCCUCGGGAGGCAGUGAAAGCAUCGGGGUUCCUGGGAAGCACGCCCGGGAGGCGAGCACCGCCAGUCGUGUCAUGGCAGUUGUGAUAUUUAUCUUGCUAUGCAUCACUGCCAUAGCGAUAUGCAUUCAUCCACAGAGGUGGCUAUACCAAAAGAAUGAUUCAGAUGUCUCAAAACCUGGAGACCAUGCUGAGACUGCUCUGAGAAGUGAGCUCAACUUGCAAAAUGCAGUCAGUGAAAGUCAGAAGGAGUGUUUCUUCUGAUCAGCAGCUGUGAUUUCCUUUCUGCUAUGACAGUGUAGCCUUCAUGGCCAGCUGUGGAAUUCCAAGACAUAACUCCAUUUCGGCUCCCGGUCACAACUGAGACCUCAGUGAUCUGGUGAUGCUGUGAUUCUCCAGGACAAGAUUACACCAGCUGAAAACAUCCUGGGAAGAACAAACAUCUACUCAGUUCUUCAUUGUUCUUGGAUUGUUAUGCUUUGUUUAUCUGAUGUACUGAAUUCUCCGCAAGUCAUUUGUUACAUCAGUUUCUCCCAAUGUACUGAAUAAAAGAUGCGGUAAGAUGGGGGCUUUCAUCUUUGCCCCCCCCCCCCAAGAGCAGCACUGAUCAAACCCAAAGCUCAGCUUCUUCUCCAAGUCUCAUUUUUCUACAUUUCCUGCGUAAUAAGUUAAUUUGCUGUGUGCUGCCAUGCC